CUUAAUAAGAGUUUGAUCAUGGCUCAGAUUGAACGCUAGCGACAGGCUUAACACAUGCAAGUCGAGCGGCAACAUAAUAUAUAUAUUUUUAUAUAUAUAUAUAUAUUGAUGGCGAGCGGCAAACGGGUGAGUAAUAUCUAAGAAUCUACCUUUUGGAGUGGGACAACUAUUAUAAUUAGUAGCUAAUACCACAUAAUAUUAUUGUUAUUAUUUAUAAUAAUAAUUAAAGUAGGGGAUUAUAUUUAAAUUUUUUUAAAUAUAACCUUAUGCCAUUAGAUGAGCUUAGACGAGAUUAACUAGUAGGUGAGGUAAUUGCUUACCUAGGUGAUGAUCUCUAGCUGGUCUUAGAGGAUGAACAGCCACACUGGAACUGAGACACGGUCCAGACUUCUACGGAAGGCAGCAGUGAGGAAUAUUGCACAAUGGGGGAAACCCUGAUGCAGCUAUGUCGCGUGUGUGAAGAAGGCUUUUAGUCGUAAAACACUUUCGUCAAAGAAUAAAGUUUUAUAUAAAUAAUACUUAUAUAUUAUUGAUUAUUUGAAAAAGAAGUACCGGCUAAUUCCGUGCCAGCAGCCGCGGUAAUACGGGAGGUACUAGUGUUAAUCGGAAUUACUGGGCGUAAAGAGUGUGUAGGUGGUAUAUUAAGUCGUAUAUGAAAUCUUUAAGCUUAACUUAAAAACUGUAUUCGAUACUAAUAAACUAGAGUUUAUAGAGGGGAAUAGAAUUCCAAGUGUAGCAGUGAAAUGCGUAGAUAUUUGGAGGAAUACCAGAUGCGAAGGCGAUUCCCUGGGUAAAAACUGACACUGAGACACGAAAGCUUGGGUAGCGAACAGGAUUAGAUACCCUGGUAGUCCAUGCUGUAAACGAUGUCAAUUUGAAGAUUGUAAUAUUUUUAUGUUUUUAUAAUUUUCGUAGCUAACGCGUUAAAUUGACCGCCUGAGAAGUACGAUCGCAAGAUUAAAACUCAAAUGAAUUGACGGGGGCCCGCACAAGCGGUGGAGCAUGUGGUUUAAUUCGAUGCAACGCGAAGAACCUUACCUACUCUUGACAUCAUAAAGUAAUAAAGUAGAAAUACUUUAGUAUCUACGUAAGUAGAAUCUUUAAGACAGGUGCUGCAUGGCUGUCGUCAGCUCGUGUUGUGAAAUGUUGGGUUAAGUCCCUUAACGAGCGCAACCCUUAUCCUUUUUUGCCAGCGUAAAGUCGGGAACUAAAAGGAAACUGCCAGUUAUAAGCUGGAGGAAGGUGAGGAUAACGUCAAGUCAUCAUGGCCUUUAUGAGUAGGGCUACACACGUGCUACAAUGGUAUAUACAAAGAGAAGCAAUUUCGCGAGAAUGAGCAAAUCUUUAAAGUAUAUCACAGUUCGGAUUGAAGUCUGCAACUCGACUUCAUGAAGUAGGAAUCGCUAGUAAUCGUAGAUCAGAAUGCUACGGUGAAUAUGUUCUCGGGCCUUGUACACACCGCCCGUCACACCAUGGGAGUAAAUUGCAAAUUAAGAAAAUAAAUUUAAUCAUUUUUUUAAAAUGAAGGAUUUUUUCCAUUUUGUGUUUUAUGACUGGGGUGAAGUCGUAACAAGGUAACUGUAGGGGAACCUGUAGUUGGAACACCUCCAAU
rnacentral:rRNA from 1 species